GAGACACACAGAGAGAGGCAGAGACAUAGGCAGAGGGUGGAGCAGGCUCCCACCAGGGAGCCGGACAAGGGACUCCAUCCUGGAUCCCAGGAUCACACCCUGAGCCCUGAGCUGAAGGCAAAUGCUCAACCUCUGAGCCACCCAAGCGUCCCCACACCUUUUUUUUUUUUUUUAAGCUUCCUCUCAUUUGUUUGUUUCUUUUCUUGGGUGGAGAAAGAAGGAAAUUCCAUGAUUUGCAAGUCUGCCAGAGCCAGAGUGUGUGUGUAGGGCCAGGUUGCUGUCAGGCACAAAGGCAGGGAGAUGGCCUGUGUCCAAAUGAAGAUCCACUGGGGCAAGAAGAAAGCCAGGCUGGAAGGAAGAGAAGCAGGCUUCGAGCUCCAACAAUUCCUGCCCAGUGAGGCUCAGGGGCACCAGAGACAAGAGCCCAAAGGCCAUUCUUCGAAGCUGAGCAAGAUUGCAGGGUUUCUGAGAGUACUGCGCAGAAAUAAAGGAGACAAAAAUGUCACUGAUCCACCAGAAACUUCCAAAGGUUUCUCCGAGUUGGUCCAGGAUGGGCAGUUCCUGGAGGCCUACCUGAGCAUCCCGACAUUGGUAAAGCAAGGGCAAGACUGCAAAUCCCUGUACCAGGUUGUGGCCCAGAGCAUGUGGCAGGUGCUCCAGCAGGCUCUGGAGGGCACUGAGUACUGCCCGGAGCUGGAGCUAAAGAUCCAGGCUGUGCUGGGCACCAUAGAGUGGACACAGGAGAAGCACCAGAGCUGGGAGGAUGGUGACCUCCAGGAUGGUGACCUCCAGGAUGGUGACCUCCAGGAUGGCGGAGUUGCCGCCUGGGGCAAUCAGCUGGAGAAGCUGCUGAGAAGUGAUGUGGAGGCCAGAGUGCCUGCCCUGGGCCCUGGCGACCAGGUGGACCUGUACCUGGAGAAGCUAGAAGAGGCUGUGACACAGGGCCUGAGGUCCCCGCGGGCCAGCCUGUUGGGGCCCCAGCUCUGGAAGGUCUACAGGACACACUUCCAGGAGGUCCUCCUCAACCGCCUCUGGGAGCUCAUGCACUCCUUUGGCACCAACAGGGAAAGCUGUCACAUGCUGUACUCCUGGGCCAAGAUAACGUUGUUUGGGGAGCCAGGGAAAGCUUGGAGGAACAACUAG
rnacentral:lncRNA from 1 species